rnacentral:rRNA from 1 species
GACGAACGCUGGCGGCGUGCUUAACACAUGCAAGUCGAACGGAAAGGCCCUGCUUUUGUGGGGUGCUCGAGUGGCGAACGGGUGAGUAACACGUGAGUAACCUGCCCUUGACUUUGGGAUAACUUCAGGAAACUGGGGCUAAUACCGGUUAGGAGCUCCUGCUGCAUGGUGGGGGUUGGAAAGUUUCGGCGGUUGGGGAUGGACUCGCGGCUUAUCAGCUUGUUGGUGGGGUAGUGGCUUACCAAGGCUUUGACGGGUAGCCGGCCUGAGAGGGUGACCGGCCACAUUGGGACUGAGAUACGGCCGAGACUCCUACGGGAGGCAGCAGUGGGGAAUAUUGCACAAUGGGCGGAAGCCUGAUGCAGCAACGCCGCGUGCGGGAUGACGGCCUUCGGGUUGUAAACCGCUUUCGCCUGUGACGAAGCGUGAGUGACGGUAAUGGGUAAAGAAGCACCGGCUAACUACGUG